AUUUUAAUUAAAUAUUUAAUUUAGUUUUUAUUUAUAGGUUUUUGAUAGAAAUAUCUUUAUAUUUAAGUAUAUUUUAUAGAAAUAAUUUAUCUUUUAUUUAUAGUUAAUUUUACUGUGAAGGUAAAUUGUAGAAUUUUAUUAAAGUAGAAUUAGUUUGUUGUACCUUUUGUAUCAGGGUUUAUUAAUUAUAUGUCUCUAUUGAUAUCUUUCCCGAAAUUAUAAGUGCUAUUAUGUUUUGCUGUUUAUUGUUACAUAAAUAUAUGUGAAUAUAUAAUAGGGGUUAUAUGCUAUUCAAUUAUAAAUAUCUGGUUUUCUAAGAAAUAAAUUUAAUUUAGAGAGGGAUAAAUUUAUUAGUUUAGUUAAUUACUAUUAAUAUCUUUUCUUAAUAUGCUAAGGGAUAAGCUUUAGUGUAGUUCUAUAAUAUUUUUAUUUAUAUGAUAUUAUGUAGGUUUAGGAACGGCCAUCUUGUAAUUUCGUUAUAGUUUAAUUUUAUUAUUAGAUUUAUUUAUUAAUAUUUAGAAUUUUAUUAGAAUAAUUUCUUUAAUAAUACAUGAGAAGUAAUAAUGAUAGAAUUAGUAAUUGUGUUAAUUUAUAUAUAGUAAUUCGGCAAAUUUAGUAUUCACCUGUUUAUCAAAAACAUGUCCUGUUGGAUAUUUAAAUCAGGUCUAACCUGCCCACUGAUAGUUAAUUGAAGGGCCGCAGUAAUUUGACUGUGCGAAGGUAGCAUAAUCAUUUGUCUAUUAAUUGUAGGCUUGUAUGAAUGGUUUGAUGAGAUACUGGCUUUCUUUAUAUAAAAGGAUGAAUUUAAUUUUUAAGUUAAAAAGCUUAAAUAGUAUUGGAGGACGAGAAGACCCUAUAGAAUUUUAUUAUUAUAUUAUUUUAUCUUUUUUUGGAUGUUUAAUGAUUAAAUUUAAGAUAAUAAAUAAUUGUGUUGGGGCGAUAUGGAAAUAUUAUGAACUUUCUUUAUUUAUUAUUUAUUGAUUUGUAUUUUAAGGAUCCUCUUUUUGGGAUUAUAAGAUUAAAUUACCUUAGGGAUAACAGCGUAAUUUUUAUGGAGAGUUCUUAUCGAUAUAGGAGUUUGCGACCUCGAUGUUGGAUUAAAUUAAGUUUCUGGUGUAGGUGCUAGGAUUUACUAGGUCUGUUCGACCUUUAAUUAUUUACAUGAUCUGAGUUCAGACCGGCGUGAGCCAGGUUGGUUUCUAUCCUCAACUGGCAUUAUUUAUCUUAGUACGAAAGGACUUGGUAAAUUGAAUAAUUCAUAAAUAAUGGA
rnacentral:rRNA from 1 species